UUUUUCAGGCUCCAAGAAUGCUAGAAGUAAUUGGCCCAGAAGGUGAAGUAUUUUUGGAAGCUGACUUGACAAUUUCUGGGCGGAAUUGUUUAGACAGACCAGACAUUACUAAGGAACCAAAGAAUAGACACUAUGGCAAAUUGCAGGUGCUUGAUCCAAAUGAAGAAGUGGUUAUUGAACCAGUUGAAGAAAUGUCACGAUAGACCAGCUCCAAGUUACUCUGCUCCCACGGAAACCACCUCCCAAGAUCCUCCAUGCUAUGACAGCCC